AUUGAACGCUGGCGGCAGGCCUAACACAUGCAAGUCGAGCGGAUGACGGGAGCUUGCUCCUUGAUUCAGCGGCGGACGGGUGAGUAAUGCCUAGGAAUCUGCCUGGUAGUGGGGGACAACGUUUCGAAAGGAACGCUAAUACCGCAUACGUCCUACGGGAGAAGGCAGGGGACCUUCGGGCCUUGCGCUAUCAGAUGAGCCUAGGUCGGAUUAGCUAGUAGGUGAGGUAAUGGCUCACCUAGGCGACGAUCCGUAACUGGUCUGAGAGGAUGAUCAGUCACACUGGAACUGAGACACGGUCCAGACUCCUACGGGAGGCAGCAGUGGGGAAUAUUGGACAAUUGGCGAAAGCCUGAUCCAGCCAUGCCGCGUGUGUGAAGAAGGUCUUCGGAUUGUAAAGCACUUUAAGUUGGGAGGAAGGGCAGUAAGUUAAUACCUUGCUGUUUUGACGUUACCGACAGAAUAAGCACCGGCUAACUCUGUGCCAGCAGCCGCGGUAA
rnacentral:rRNA from 1 species